rnacentral:misc_RNA from 1 species
GAUGAAGAACGUAGUGAAAUGCGAUAAGUAAUGUGAAUUGCAGAAUUCAGUGAAUCAUCGAAUCUUUGAACGCACAUUGCGCCCAUUAGUAUUCUAGUGGGCAUGCCUGUUCGAGCGUCAUUAAGUCCACUUAAGCCCUGCUUAGUGUUGGGAGACUGCUCCAGCGGUGCAACCCUGUAGCUACCCUGCAGCUCCUCAAAGACAGCGGCGGAGUUGUGGUAUCCUCUGAGCUUAGUAACUUGUUCUAGCUUUCGAGUACACCACUUCCCCUGCCGUAAAACCCUUAAUUUUUAAUGGUUGACCUCGGAUCAGGUAGGAAUACCCGCUGAACUUAAGCAUAUCAAUAAGCGGAGGA